AUCAAUAGAUGGUUUGGUCUCGGGUUUAUGCAUCAAACCGACUAAAUCCAGAUUUGGGGACAUUUAGCUAUGGAACUUUCGUUUCAAGGGGAAAUAGGAAUAUAACUAUCAUUUCAUGGAUAUAUACACUGAGGUUAAAGUUUGAGCUCUAUCUGGCAUGAUAUGAUACUUCUCGUGGAGAAAUAGACCGUUUAGGCAUAGUAAACAUUUCUUACAAAGUUAGUGUUUUUUCUCAACAAUACUCCAUUUUGAUAAGCUAUAUGGAUGAGAUUUUCCGGUAAGAAGAACCAAACAUAGACCAAUGAACUUUCAUAGAUGUU
rnacentral:sRNA from 1 species